rnacentral:rRNA from 1 species
CCCUUAGAUGUCCGGGGCCGCACGCGCGCUACACUGAAGGCAUCAGCGUGGCUUUCUCCCUGACCCGAAAGGGUUGGGAAACCCGUUGAAUCUCCUUCGUGAUAGGGAUUGGGGCUUGAAAUUGUUCCCCAUGAACGAGGAAUUCCCAGUAAGCGCGAGUCAUAAGCUCGCGUUGAUUACGUCCCUGCCCUUUGUACACACCGCCCGUCGCUACUACCGAUUGAACGGUUUAGUGAGGGCCUCGGAUUGGUCUCGGCCCGCUCUUUACCGGGCGGCGCCGUUGGUCGAGAAGACGCUCGAACUUGAUCGUUUAGAGGAAGUAAAAGUCGUAACA